rnacentral:lncRNA from 1 species
ACCGACAUCUGGCGGCCGAUGGCGAGCGGCGGAUGGUCGCUGACGAACAUUUGGUGGUUGGUGGUGAGCCUCCGGCAUCCAAUGACUGGCGAUGAGCAGCCAAGGAACUGGUUGGUGUCUAGCAUCCAGCGACCAGCGGUUGGUGAUGGGCGGCCGGAGUGCGAUAGUCGGCGGCCAGCGUCUGGUGGUCGGCGGUUGGUGGCUUAUGGCUGGGGCUAGUGGCGAGCGGUCGGCAAUCGGCAGCGGGCGUCCGG